CACUCUGUGUCGGAGUACAGUGAUUCUCCACAGCUUGUACUUUCUUGGUAAUAAAGGAUUUGUGUUUUUUUUCUAAACAGGUCAGUAUCUUGUUAUUGCAGCAAGUCCGUGGGAGUAUCCGAAAACAAACCUGACAGUAAGACAUAUCUCAAAGGAUUUGGGAGCUUGUCAAAUAGGAUUGCAGAGGAAAUUGUGCAUCUACCAGAACCAUGAAGCAGAAGGCACUGACUCCAAUGAUGGUUUCUCCAACAUCGUACAACAUCUCUUUGGCGGGGAUUGAUCGGAAAGACCUGAUUUCUUGAAUUAUUUUCCAGCUUCAGAUACUAAACUGAAGGAGACAGAUUGAGUUUUGUGCACAGCAUCUAGAAUGAGAAUGGGACAUCCCUGACAGACAUCCUGUCAAUUGGAACUAUGAUGUAAUGAAGGACAAGUCAAUAGUGAAUAUCUACUGACAUGGGAUAAUUUUAACAGAUCGUGGGAUACAAGUGCAUCAGGGAAACAGAACAGAAUGCAGGAGACAGUGUUUUGGCAGCGGAGAGAGACCAACAUGAACAUUUAAGAGCUUCCAACACCCGGCCCUGACCUCCGACUCCCAACCUCCGAAGUGGGAACGCCAGCAAUCAGCAGCCUGAAGCUGGGACAUCAGUGACCACUGACAUGACCAAUAGUGCAGUUUACUCAGGCAAGAAUCAGAAUUAUCAUCAGGUUGGAUGUAAGAAAGUGUGUCAGAGCUGAAUAAUGUUCGACUCACUGGAGAAAGAAAUGGUUACAUUUGUACAGCACAUUUCCCCAUUACCAAUGUGAUGAUUAAGGAAGUACCAUGUAAGAAUAUGAUUCAUUUUAAAGCAAUUGCCUCAGAAACCGACCCACACAUGGAAUUGAUCUGUGACACCCUUCACUCUUCAAUAAAGAACUGAACAACUUGUAAUAUGUAGAUCGGCCAACAAGAGGUGAGGCUACUUUGGAUUUGGUUCUGGGUAAUGAACCAGGCCAGGUGUUAGAUUUGGAGGUCGGUGUGUAUUUCGGUGAUAGUGACCACAGCUCGGUUAUGUUUACUUUAGUGAUGGACAGGGACAGGUUUAUACUGCAGGGCCGGAGUUAUUGCUGGGGGAAAGGCAAUUAUGAGAUGAUUAGGCAAGAUUUAGGAUGCACAGGAUGGAGAAGGAAACUGCAGGGGUUGGGCAGAAAUGAAAUGUGGAUCUUGUCCCAGCAACAGCUCAAUCGAGUCCUUGAUAAGCAUGUACCUUUCAGACAGGGAGAAAGUGGUCAAGCGAGGGAACCGUGGUUUACUAAAGAAGUUGAAACUCUUGUCAAGUGGAAGAGAGAGGCUGAUGUAAAGAUGAGAUGUGAAGGCUCAGUUAGUGCACUUGAGAUUUACAAGAUAGCCAGGAAGGACCUGAAGAGAGAGCUAAAAAGAGCCAGGAGGGGACAUGAGAAGUCUUUGGCAGGUAGGAUCAAGGAACACCCUAAAGCUUUCUAUAGGUGUGUCAGGAAUAAAAGGAAGACUCAAGUAAGAUUAGGUCCAAUCAAGGACAGUAGUGUCAAGUUGUGCGUGGAGUGCGAAGAAAUGGGAGAGGCACUGAAUGACUAUGUUUUGUCGGCAUUCACAUAGGAAAAAGACAAUGUUGUCGAAGAGAAUACUGACAUAUAGGCUAUUAGGCGAGACGGAAUUGAGUUUCACAAGGAGGUGUUUGCAAAUCUGGAAGGUGUGGACAUAGAUAAGCCCUCUGGGCCGGAUGGGAUGUAACCUAGGAUUCUCUGGGAAGAGAGGGAUGAGAUUGCAGAGCCUUCGGCUUUGAUCUUUAUGUCGUUCAUAUCUUCAGGAAGAGUGCAGAAGACUGGAGGAUAUCAAAUGUUGUCCCUUUGUUCAAGAAGGGGAGGAGGGGCAAUCCUGGUAAUUACAGACCAGUGAGCCUUACUUCGGUUGUGGGUAAAGUGUUGGAAAGGAUUAUAAGAGGUAGGAGUUAUAAUCAUCAGAAAGGAGUAAUUUGGUUCAGGAUAGUCAACAUGGUUUUGUGAAGGGUAAGUUGUACCUCACAAACCUUACUGAGUUCUUUGAGAAGGUGACCAAACAGGUGGAUGAGGGUAAAGCGGUUGAUGUGGUGUGUAUGGAUUUCAUUAAAGGAUUUGAUAAGAUUCCCCAUGGUCGGCUAUUGCAGAAAAUAGGGAGGCAUGGGAUUGAGGGUGAUUUAGCGGUUUGGAUCAAAAAUUGUCUGGUUGGAAAAAGACAGUGGGUGGUGGUUGAUGGGAAAUGUUCAUCCUGGAGUUCGGUUACUCGUGGUGUACCACAAGGAUGUAUUUUGAGGCCCUGCUGCUUGCCAUUUUUAUAAAUGACCUGGAUGAGAGCGUAAAAGGAUGGCUUAGUAAAUUUGUGGAUGACACUAAUGACACACUAAUGGAUAGUGCGGAAGGAUGUUGCAGGUUACAGAGUGACAUUGGAAAACUGCAGAGAUGGGUUGAGAGGAGGCAAAUGGGCUUUAAUGCGGAAAAGUGUGAGGUGAUUCACUUUGGACGAAGUAAUACGAAUGCAGAGCACUGGGCUAAUGGUAAGAUUCUUGGUAGUGUGGAUGAGCAGAGAGACCUCGGUGUCCAUGUACAUAGAUCCCUGAAAGUUGCCUCCCAGGUUGAUAGUUGUUAAGACGGUGUAUGGUGUGUUAGGUUUUAUUGGUAGAGGGUUGUGUUUCGGAGCCAUGAGGUUAUGCUGCAGCUGUACAAAACUCUGGUGCGGCUGCACUUGGAGUAUUGCAUACAGUUCUGGUUGCCGCAUUAUAGGAAGGAUGUGAAAGCAUUGGAAAGGGAGCAGAGGAGAUUUACCAGGAUGUUGCCUGGUAUGGAGGGAAGGUCUUAUGAGGAAUGGCUGAGGGACUUGAGGCUGUUUUCAUUAUAGAGAAGAUGGUUAAGAGGUGACUUAAUAGAGUCGUACAAGAUGAUCAGAGGAUUAGAUAGGGUAGACAGUGGGAGCCUUCUUCCCUCAGAUAGAGAUAGCUAUCACGCGGGACCAUAGUUUUAAAUUGAAGGGUGUUAGAUAUAGGACAGAUGACGGAGGUAGGUUCUUUACUCAGAGCGUACUAAGGAUGUGGAAUGCCGUGCUUGCAACAGUAGGAGACAUGCCAGCUAUGAGGGCAUUUAAAUGGUCAUUGGAUAAACGUAUGGAUGACAAUGGAAUAGUGUAUGUUAGAUGGGCUUCAGGUUGGUUUCACAGGUUGGCAAAACAUCGAGGGCGAAAGGGCCUGUCCUGUGCUGUAAUGUUCUACGUUCUGUCUCCCUUCAACUUUUGCCCUUACAAUUUGUUCCUGUGUCCCCUUAUAAUUGAAACUUCAACCCUGUGAAAAAAACCUCUGAACUUCCAGCCUGUCCAUGCCUCUCAUAUAGUUGUAGAUCUCAAUCAGGUCUCCUUUCAGCUACUAUCUUUCCAGUGAAAAACAAUCCUCGUCUUUAUAACCUUUCCUCAUUGCUCAUGCCCUUGAGAUCGGGCAACACCCUGGUAAACCUUCCCUGCACUCUUUCCAAAGCUUCCACAUCCUUCUGGCAAUGUGGUAAACAAAACUGCACCCAAACCUGUGUGGAAGUACUUUGUCCUCCCUUUUUCACAAAGUACUCCAUUCUUGCAAUUGGGUAUGAGUCUGAUUUACUCAUAGCAUUGACCUUCCAAUAAUCCACACAGAAUCAUUGAGUACCAUCAGGUUUAGGAACCAACAUGGCCGCCAAAUGCCACUCGCUUUGACUUUGCUCAAUAAUAUCUCCUUAAAGCAUUGCUUCCACUGCUUUCUGUAUGUGUGCUCCUUUGAGAGGAUUAUGCCUGUAGGGGUGUUGUUUUAUCAGAACGGCAUUCCCUCCAUCAAUCUCAUCUACUAUGUUAUCAGUCCUCCCCGAUUCUAUUUCCACUGAUGCCCUCAUUUCACUGCAACUUCAGUUCUCUGUUCCUGGUACAGAUAGCUCGCUGUCCUAUCCAUUUCUUAGAGGACAUCCUCAUUAUUCAACUUAUCUAAGGCACAUCAAAAACAACAUCAUCUGGAUUUGAUUCCUUGCUUUGAAUGACUAACACCUCUUUCUUUGGUUCUCUGGACUGAGUUGAUUCAUUUGGAGUAUCUCCAAUGGUAAAUUAUGUAAAUGAGAUAUCUUUAUUCCAAUCAUUUGGGAAUCCUGGUAAUAAGCUCUCAGCAAUGUCUUUAGGGUCCGAUGCCAUUUUUUCAAUGCUCCCUCGGAUUCAUCAUGGCCCACACUUGAUGUAAAGUGUUUGAUGCCUAAACUAUCCAUGACCUCCUUAAAUUAGCCCCUCGGUCUGACUGAAUCUCCAUGGGUGAAAGCGACGAAGAUGUCUGCAACGUUUUUUUGCUUUGACAUUCCGUUAUGGAAUUUCUUCCAGAAAUCUGGUAAACAGUCCAUUAUAGUCAGCAAACACUGGUUCCCAGUUACAGUUUCAGGGAGGGGACCUAAACAAUCAAUGAUAACCCCCAUGAAUAGUUCUUCAAAUGUGGGGAUUGGCAUCAAUGGCCCUGGUUUUAUUUCUGCCUGCGGCUUUCCAAACAUCUGAAACAUAUGACAGGUACAGCAAAAUUCUACCACAUCCUCAUGUAAUCCAGGGCAAAGGAAAUUAUUUUGUGUCUCUGCCUGAAUCUUCCUGACUCCGAGAUGGCCUCCUGCAGGUAAUUUGUGAGCUACGUGCAAUUAUUCCUGUCUCUAUGCUGCCGCCAACACAAUCUGCUAAGUCUCUGCUCAUUUCUCAUCUGCAUGAACCAGCCAAGGGUCCAUUUCAACCUUCAUAUUUUAUCCUUGAGGUGAUAACGUUUCUUUUUCAGAGUAGGCUUUCUGAUAUAAAUUCUUUGUUGCCUCAUCUUUUUGUGGUAACUCCAUUGAUCUUUUAGAACUAAACACUUCUGCCUGAUCCCUCUCCCUGUUGAGGUUAUUUCCUGUACCAUUUCAUCAAACUGGGUGUCAGAAAACUGGCACUCAAAUCCUUCAUCUUUCUCUUUUGCUUUCACUUCUUGAUUUUAACUUAUGGCUGUGGGACCUUGUCACAACACAGUACAGAAAAAAAAUACAGUCUUUUCCCUUUAACUCCUCAGUUCCUUUGUUUUCUUUCAACCUCUCUGCUUCAAUGGGCAUCACUGCCACAUUUGAUCUAGGUCUAUCAUUUCCGAGAACACACGGUAUUCAUGAAAUAGCCAUUCUUUCAAUCGCUCUCAUUAUCACUUCCAAAGUCUUGAAUGGAAUUUCUAGCCUUCCCUUACACAAAGGAACACUCAUUCUUUCUCCACUUAUUCCAAAGAUUAGCACUCACUCUGGCAAUAAUUCACAAGGAGUGCAAAUAUUUACCCUCUUAUCACUAGAGACUGACUAACUUCUGCAAAUCUGUCAAAUGUUUGACCUGUUCCCCCAUUCUACCUGAGUAGACCUCACGAACGCUUCGAAAGACUUUGGAAAGAUCGGGCAUUCUCUAACUUUCCAGUCCGAGACUAGGCUGGGCGUUCUCCUGCAGCUCCUCAACUUCUCCUGUGAUUUUCUUCACUUCCUCAACUAAUCCCACUGGUUUAGCCUCUCCUACCACAUCCUUUUUGCCAUUGGCUCCCUUAACCCACCAGUUCUGUGGCUUUGUGUACCCUACCUUAAUGCAGUGAAUACACCUGAGGUCUUUUUUUCUCUUUUUCACCCUCUUGGAUUUCUGUUGUCUCGUGUGGCAAGCUGCUCCCAGUGUGAUCUACUUUUUGGUUUUCAUUGAAGGAGCUCUAUGUUUCCAAAAGUCUAUCCCUUAUCAAUUGAAAUGACUGUCGGUAGUUGGAUUUUGGUUUAUGCACUAAAGCAUAAUCAUCCACCAUCUCUGCAGCUCCUCUCGCUAUUUGAACUUUCUGUUUCUCAACAUGAGUUGUUGUCAUGUCUGGAAGUGUGUUUUUAAACUGCUGCAACAUGAUAACACCUCUAAGAUCCUCAUAGGUCUCUUCUAUCCUCAAGGCUCUCACGCAUCUAUCGAAGUUAUUCUGUUUAGCUCUUUCAAAAUGAAUAAAAGUCUGACCUGCUUCCUCUCUAUAUUUCUGAACCGUUGUCGAGGUGCUUAUAGUCCAUAUUAUGGGCAUUCAAAAUUGCCUGUUUUGCAUGGUUAUAUAUCCCUAUCAGGUCUUUGGCUGUGCUGGGUUUGCUUAUCAUCAAUAUUCUCCUCAUGAAGCCACUCUAGUUUCUUCAUUUCAAUCAUUUUAAGUUUCCUAUCCGACUGAACUUGCAACUUCCGAAGUUUAAAUUUUCUCUCCUUUUCUUUUUGCCUUUCUUCUACUUCUGACCAAAAUUCAAACUG